rnacentral:misc_RNA from 1 species
AGAACAUAAAAUCGGAGGCUAUUACAGGACUUCUCUCUGCUCAUUCCUGACAUCUUCUGUGCGUUUUAUUACUACAAAACGCAAACGGCGACUCACGGAAUUUUUUUUUAGAAAAAAAAAACUUCCAUUUGAUUCGUACAAAGUUGAAGCUGUAGGUGGAGCCUCUAGCAUGGUCACUGUCAAAGUGAACGGGGAAGUGCUGUGCGUGAAGCUUCUGGUUUGCAAGAUACAGGUCACAUUCUUGAGGAUGGGAAGAACAUCUAUAAUACGACUUUGAACAUGUCGGACCUGUGAACUGGUGUUAACAGGUAAAUGUGAAGACGGCAUGGCAUACAUUAAGACACUUAUAGUGCUUUGCUUCUGGAGUUUAGUAUUAUUUUGAAUAUGUGUCAGCACAGCUUACAUUUCAAUUACGGUCGUUGGCAAAGGGUAGCCCACUAAUG